rnacentral:rRNA from 1 species
UGGGUAACCUGCCUCAAAGAGGGGAAUAGCCUCCCGAAAGGGAGAUUAAUACCGCAUAAUAUGUUUAAGUCGCAUGACUUUAACAUCAAAGGAUUUUCUUUUAGAACUUCCACUUUGAGAUGGACCCGCGGCGCAUUAGCUAGUUGGUGAGGUAACGGCUCACCAAGGCAACGAUGCGUAGCCGACCUGAGAGGGUGAUCGGCCACAUUGGAACUGAGACACGGUCCAGACUCCGUAGGAG